rnacentral:piRNA from 1 species
UAGGAAGGAACACAUUGACCAGGCCUGAGG